CGCGCAGGCGGUUCAUUAAGUCUUCUGUUUAAUACCAGGGCUCAACUCUGGUUCGCAGGGGAAACUGGUGGACUGGAGUGCAGGAGAGGAAAGUGGAAUUCCACGUGUAGCGGUGAAAUGCGUAGAGAUGUGGAGGAACACCAGUGGCGAAGGCGACUUUCUGGCCUGUAACUGACGCUGAGGCGCGAAAGCGUGGGGAGCAAACA
rnacentral:rRNA from 1 species